AACGAACGCUGGCGGCAGGCCUAACACAUGCAAGUCGAGCGCGCCUUCGGGUGAGCGGCGGACGGGUGAGUAACGCGUGGGAAUAUGCCCUUCUCUACGGAAUAGUCCUGGGAAACUGGGGGUAAUACCGUAUACGCCCUUUGGGGGAAAGAUUUAUCGGGGAAGGAUUAGCCCGCGUUGGAUUAGGUAGUUGGUGGGGUAAUGGCCUACCAAGCCGACGAUCCAUAGCUGGUUUGAGAGGAUGAUCAGCUACACUGGGACUGAGACACGGCCCAGACUCCUACGGGAGGCAGCAGUGGGGAAUCUUAGACAAUGGGGGCAACCCUGAUCUAGCCAUGCCGCGUGAGUGAUGAAGGCCUUAGGGUUGUAAAGCUCUUUCAGCUGGGAAGAUAAUGACGGUACCAGCAGAAGAGGCCCCGGCUAACUCCGUG
rnacentral:rRNA from 1 species